rnacentral:pre_miRNA from 1 species
ACCAUUCUCCCUCCAUUCUAAAAUUCUUGUUUUUGAUUUAUUUAAAUAUAAAUGUAUCCAGUCAUGUAUUAGUAUUUAGAUAUAUUCAUUUUUUAAUAAAACUAAGAUAAAAAAUUUGGGACGGAGGGAGUAGGAG